ACCAGCAUGGACAGUCUCACUCACAGGAAACUUUCUGCACAUAUAAAACUCAACAUCUUCAAAAGACCACAGGUUUUGAAGUGAAAUAUUAAGUUUUGGAAGGUGCCUGGCUCUCUAUUACAUAAAGAUUAGGGUGAUGGCAGGAAAGCCUUCUAAACUCAAAGGCUUAGAGAUGACCAUUAAAAAUAAAUCUGAAAAAUAACAGCAGAAAUUCACAAAAAGUUGCUCAGGCACUAUAAGAGUUGCAAAUAUUUGUCCAAUGAUUAUUAAGAAAGUGUACAAGUGAUCUUCAACAUGACAUUUUUUGAUAAAGUAAUUAAAAAUAAUUGAAUUUCUUUGUUGUAUUUUUUUGAGAAAUCUAGUCAGAAAUGUCUUGGUGUGAUGAAAGUUAUUCUAAAUUAGCUGUAGGAACAUUCUCGGGUUCAGCUAUAUGCUGCCUCUGGGUUCCUUUAUACGUAACUGAACACAAGAUUAACACAACACUAAUUAUUGCCUUAGCUGCUGCUAACCGUUUUAUGUGUUUAGCAUUAGCAGAGCUAAGAUUCUUGUUUAGUGAACUUAACUUUUUGGUUAGCUGUGACCACUAAUGGCAAUUGGCAAUUUUAUCUUAAGCCACCACCUUGAAUGUUUCAGUGGCUAAAGUUAUUUUUGUUUCGCUUUGUUUGGGG